CAGGGGAAUGACACUAAGCAAUAUGACUUUGAGGAGAGGAUAAACUUCGCUGUUUUCCCAUCCUUACAAGGUGGACCACACAAUAACCAUAUUGCUGCUCUUGCUGUGGCCUUAAAACAAGUGGCUACUCCAGAGUACAAGGCAUAUAUGCAGCAGGUGAAAAAGAAUGCUCAAGCCUUGGCUUCUGCUUUACUUCGAAGGAACUACAAGCUUGUAACUGGUGGCACUGAUAAUCACAUGGUACUCUGGGAUCUAAGGUCCUUGGGACUGUCAGGUAAAAACUUGGAGCAACUUUGCGAGAUGUGCCACAUUACUCUCAACAAAAUUAUAAUAUUUGGUGAUAAUGGAGUUAUUACUACUGGAGGAGUAAGGAUUGGCACCCCAGCCAUGACAUCAAGAGGCUGUCUG
rnacentral:misc_RNA from 1 species